rnacentral:rRNA from 1 species
AUGCCCGCGCCGCCGCCGCCACCGGCGCCUGGGUCUUCGACGCUGGAGCUGUUCGACCACCGGGAGUUCGACCGGUGGGUGGAGACGGGGGAGGCGCCGGUGAUCCCCUCCAGCCUCCGCCUCUACAGGGAGGUCCGCGACCUCGGCUUCAAGACCUUCCUGCUCACUGGCCGCAGCGAGGCCCACGAGGGUAGAAAGAGCUGUCGUGGACCUGCUAUGUACGACCAGUUUGACACGAUUGACUUGUCGGACAACGAGAUUGUCAAGCUUGAGAACUUCCCUUUCAUGUAUCGCCCAGGGAGCCCGCACCUGAUUACAACUUACAAUGAGAGGGAGGAGGUGACGCCCAGGGAGCUCAGCAUCCGAGUCCCGGCCAUCCUUCGCAGCAAGGACGAGGAGGGCGUCAAGGGCUGCCGCGUCGCCGGGGCCGUCAACAACUACACCUCCCAGCUCCUCACCUACGGAUCAUCAUCACAAUCGCCAUCUUGUAAAUCUUCCCGCCAAUAUAACCUGACGGAAGCGCUCUUGUUCCUCUCACACUUCAUGGGCGACAUCCACAAGCCACUAAAAUCUCUACUUCACCAUGUAAGGCUAGUUCAGACUUGA